rnacentral:lncRNA from 1 species
UUAUUUUUUUGCUAUUUUUUCUACUUUGUAAUUUUUUAAUAACUUUUUCCCUUCACAAUUUUCCUUCUUUUUGCUUUUUUUUUUUUCAUAUGCUUUCAUUUUUACUUGUUUUUAUUUUUUCGUUGUUUUAAAAAUUUUUAUUUUUCUGUUUUUUAUUCCAAAUCUUUUGUCUUUUCUUGCUUUUCUUUUUUUUUUUCACAAAUUUCCUUUCAUUUCUUAUUUGCGUUUUUAAAUUCUCAUACCUUUUUUUAUUUUGCAUUCACUUUUCUCUUUUUUAAUUUUUUGUCUUACUUUUUAUAUUGUUAGGUCUUAUAUGUUUUUCAAUUUUUUGUAUUUUUUAAACUAAUUUUUUAUUCAAUUUUUGUCCUUUUUUAUUUUCUUACUUUUUUCUUUUUUUGUGCUUUAUUUAUCUUUUUUCUUUUUUUAUUUUCUUUCUUUAUUUAUAGUUUCAUAAAUUUUUAUAAAGUUUUGGAAUUUUUUUUCUAUCUUUUUUUCUUUUAUCAUUCUUGGUUAUUUUCUAUUGCAUUUUUAUAAUUUUUCAUUAACUUUUUCUCUUUUCAAAUUUUUCUUCUUUUUUUUAUGUGCUUUCAUUUUUUUUGUUCACUUUUUUCUUUGUUUUAAAAUUUUCUAUAAAUUUUUUUCUUUUUGUUUUCUUUCAUAUUUUUGCCUCUUCAUUUUUUAUUUUUUUUUCUCAAAUUUUAUUUUAUAUAUUUUGUAUUUUUGUUUUUUAUUUUUUUCUUGCUUUUUCUUAAAUCUUUUUGUUCACACUUUUUUUUAUUUCUUCUUUAUAAUUUUAUAUUUUUUAUUAACUUUUAUUUUAUUUUUCAUCUUUCAUAUUUUAUAUCUUUUUCCUCUAUUUGUUAUUUUUUUUCUUUGUACAUUCUAAACUAAAAGUUUUUUCCAUUUUAUAUUUGAAAUUUUUAUUCAUUUUGUCUUUUUAUAUUUUUUUGAUUCGCUAAUUUUUUAUUUUCUUACUUUGUUACUUUUUGUUUUUGUUUAUUUUUAUUUUUUCCUUUUUUGGUAUUUUAUUUAAUUUUUUCUCUUAAUUUAUUUUUCAUUUAUUUUAAAAAAUUUUUAUAAAGUUCAAAAUUUUUUAUUUUUAUUUUCUUAUUUUUUUUGCUAUUUUUUCUACUUUGUAAUUUUUUAAUAACUUUUUCCCUUCACAAUUUUCCUUCUUUUUGCUUUUUUUUUUCAUAUGCUUUCAUUUUUACUUGUUUUUAUUUUUUCGUUGUUUUAAAAAUUUUUAUUUUUCUAUUUUUUAUUCCAAAUCUUUUGUCUUUUCUUGCUUUUCUUUUUUUUUUUCACAAAUUUCCUUUCAUUUCUUAUUUGCAUUUUUAAAUUCUCAUACUUUUUUUAUUUUGCAUUCACUUUUCUCUUUUUUAAUUUUUUGUCUGACUUUUUAUAUUGUUAGGUCUUAUAUGUUUUUCAAUUUUUUUGUAUUUUUUAAACUAAUUUUUUUUUCAUUUUGUCAUUCCAUUUCAUUUUUGAAUUUUUUAUUCAAUUUUUGUCCUUUUUUAAUUUCUUACUUUUUUCUUUUUUUGUGCUUUUUUUAUUUUCUUUCUUUAUUUAUAGUUUCAUAAUUUUUUUAUAAAGUUUUGGAAUUUUUUAUUUUUCUAUCUUUUUUUCUUUUAUCAUUCUUGGUUAUUUUCUAUUGCAUUUUUAUAAUUUUUCAUUAACUUUUUCUCCUUUCAAAUUUUUCUUCUUUUUUUUAUGUCCUUUCAUUUUUUUUUGUUGACUUUUUUCUUUGUUUUAAAAUUUUCUAUAAAUUUUUUUCUUUUUGUUUUCUUUCAUAUUUUUGCCUCUUCAUUUUUUAUUUUUUUUUCUCAAAUUUUAUUUUAUAUAUUUUGUAUUUUCGUUUUUAUUUUUUUUGGCUUUUUCUUAAAUCUUUUUGUUCACACUUUUUUU